ACGACGACGACGGACGCCGGACGCCAAGUGAUGGGAAAAGCUCACUUGGCCCUUCGGGCCAGGUGAGUUAAAAAUGACGAAAAGUUGUUCAAUAUUGACUAUAAAGGGUAAUAACUCCUUAAGGGGUCCUCUAAUAAUUUUGAUCAUGUUGACUUAUUUGUAGAUCUUACUUUGCUGAACAUUAUUGCUGUUUACAGUUUAUCUCCAUCUAUAAUACUAUUCAAGAUAAUAACCAAAAACUGCAAAAUUUCCUUAAAGUUACCAAUUUUAGGGCAGCAACCCAACAACGGGUUGUCAGAUUCAUCUGAAAUUUU
rnacentral:lncRNA from 1 species